CUGGGAGGUGCUGGUACCCUCUGGCUGUGCCAGCUGUUCCAGCUGUGCCAUGGGCACCGCGGCUCCCACAGAGCCCUUGUCAGCCCAGAGCCCCCUCCCCUCUGAGCCCGGGCUUGGGGAGCAAAGCCAGGGAUGGGAAUUCUCCGGGGGCUCAAAUCAGACACCCAAAUUCCUCCAGCCCCUCCUUAGCACAUCAGCUGCCCCGGGCUGUGCCACCGCCCCCGCCCGACCCCUCCUGCCCCACAGAGUCACGGCAGCCUGAGGAGGAACAUCUAGAAGCUUUAUUUCAACCCUUUACAAUAGUAAGAACCACAACAUCGAGUCAGGAAAUGUUGCUAAGGAGACGACGCUCUUACAGCCCCCGGGGAGGGGAGACACAAAGGCAGAAACAACCGAUGGGCUCCCCCGGGCCGCUGUCUCCCACCGAGCACUGACCUCCCCUCCCCAGCGGAGUCCCCCUCCUCGGGCACGCCCUGCAGAAUAAUCCUAUGACACAAAAUAAUAAUAACACGUCACAUUUAGAGAACACGUCACGCGCUGCUCACGCCUCACAACAGCCCGGUGAGGUAAAAUUGAAUCCCCCCCACCUUUGCGGAUGGGGAAACUGAGGCAGAGAGGUUGAGUGGCUUCCCGAGAGCACGGAGGGAGCCGAGGGCCGGGACCGCCCUCCGGGCCGAGCCCCCGCCCCGGUCACUGCGCUCGGUGCCAGGUGAGGACAGCGGGGCUGGUGGGUGACCGUGCGGGGAGGGAGCGGGGGGAGCCGGAGCCCCUCAGAGCCCUUUCCGUGCUGCUGCUGCUCCAUGGAGCCUCUUCCGCCCCACCCGCCGGCCAUGGGGCCUCGGGGACAUUUCCCUGAGCCCGGAGGUGCCGGGCCUUGGGGAUAUUUCACUUUCCCCUCAGCCCGGAGGUGCCGGGCCUCGGGGACAUUUCCCUGAGCCCGGAGGUGCCGGGCCUUGGGGACAUUUCACUUUCCCCUGAGCCCGGAGGUGCCGGGCCUUGGGGACAUUUCACUUUCCCCUCAGCCCGGAGGUGCCGCGGCUCCGCAGGGACUCGGCCCUGCCCUCAGGGGAGCCCCGUCACCCCCGAGGCCGCCACCGCCACCAAGCUCCGAAAGAACCGGGAAUUCUGCCUAAACACGAACACGCGAGGGUCCCGGGGUCCCUCUGACACCGACACGACGCGGGGACAGCAGAGGAAGCUACAUUCAGUUUGCGGCUGGGGCGGCCUCGAGCCCGGACUCGGUGGCUCGAAGCGGAGCCCCGCCGGGACCGGGCUCGCCCCCGGCCCUGCCCCGGCCCCGCCGCCUCCCCACCGGCCUCGGGCGGCUCAGCCGCUGCUCGCCCCGAGCUCUGCGAAGCCUUUGCUGAGUCCUGCCCGGAGCCCCGCUCAGCCCCUGCCCAGCCCAGAGUCCCCCAGUGCGGCCAAAGCCCGGGACAGGAACGUGUACAUUCAACUGGCAUCUCAUUCAGGGCUCAGCUCCUGUUUCCCCCCCGGAUUUGCUGCCUCCAGCCCUCGAUGGAGCCACCGCGCCCGCAGCCCCUUCCCCAGCAGCGUUAAGGUCUCAGCAGUACCCAGCUCAUCCCACCUCUCCAGACGGGAAACUAAAAUCAUUCCCACCACACACGGCUCCUUCCCAGCCUAGCAAUAUGUACAGCCGCUUCCUCAAAAUAAACUCAAAAAAGAAAUCCGUAUUAGAACUGAAGCUGUCCUAGAAACACCACGGCAAACUAGUGUAUCUGGAUUUAGUUAUCAGCUAAACACAGGCACAACAAGUGUUAGAGAAGUGGCACAGAAGCACGGGCCGGGGGCUCGGCUGGGCCGGGCUUUGGGCAGGGACAGCCUGGGCACCGCACGCAGCCACCUCCGCCCGGUGCUCAGGAAAUCAUCGGGAAUCGG
rnacentral:lncRNA from 1 species